rnacentral:rRNA from 1 species
AUUGAACGCUGGCGGCGGGCCUAACACAUGCAAGUCGAGCGGAUGAGAGGAGCUUGCUUCUCGAUUCAGCGGCGGACGGGCGAGUAAUGCCUAGGAAUCUGCCUGGUAGUGGGGGACAACGUUUCGAAAGGAACGCUAAUACCGCAUACGUCCUACGGGAGAAAGCAGGGGACCUUCGGGCCUUGCGCUAUCAGAUGAGCCUAGGUCGGAUUAGCUAGUUGGUGAGGUAAUGGCUCACCAAGGCGACGAUCCGUAACUGGUCUGAGAGGAUGAUCAGUCACACUGGAACUGAGACACGGUCCAGACUCCUACGGGAGGCAGCAGUGGGGAAUAUUGGACAAUGGGCGAAAGCCUGAUCCAGCCAUGCCGCGUGUGUGAAGAAGGUCUUCGGAUUGUAAAGCACUUUAAGUUGGGAGGAAGGGUUGUAGAUUAAUACUCUGCAAUUUUGACGUUACCGACAGAAUAAGCACCGGCUAACUCUGUGCCAGCCGCCGCGGUAAGAC